CCUUUGACGUUAGCGGCGGACGGGUGAGUAACACGUGGGUAACCUACCUAUAAGACUGGGAUAACUUCGGGAAACCGGAGCUAAUACCGGAUAAUAUUUCGAACCGCAUGGUUCGAUAGUGAAAGAUGGUUUUGCUAUCACUUAUAGAUGGACCCGCGCCGUAUUAGCUAGUUGGUAAGGUAACGGCUUACCAAGGCGACGAUACGUAGCCGACCUGAGAGGGUGAUCGGCCACACUGGAACUGAGACACGGUCCAGACUCCUACGGGAGGCAGCAGGG
rnacentral:rRNA from 1 species